rnacentral:lncRNA from 1 species
UUAGACUGUCACCCCUCUUGGAGUUCUCCCUCUAGAAUCCUUUUGAGACAUUCCUUCUCUUGCCUAAAGUUGUGUCUUGGAUUGGAAAAUUUCCUAGAGAUGUUUACUGAUGUGGACAAAGAGAUUGCUGAGGAUGAUGAGAAGAGAAGGAUUGUAAGUCUCCAGGGCACUUGCAUUUGUCAUGAAAUAAUAUAA